rnacentral:rRNA from 1 species
CAAUAGCGUAUAUUAAAGUUGUUGCAGUUAAAAAGCUCGUAGUUGGAUUUCGGGGCAGCCUGGCUGGUCCGCCGCAAGGCGAGUACUGGUCAGCCGCCCUUCCUCUCGAAAGCCCCGACUGCUCUUCGUUGCAGUGGUCGGGUAGUUCGGGACGUUUACUUUGAAAAAAUUAGAGUGUUCAAGGCAGGCCUACGCCUGAAUACAUUAGCAUGGAAUAAUGGAAGAGGACCUCGGUCCUAUUUUGUUGGUUUCCAGGUCCGAAGUAAUGAUUAAGAGGGACAGUUGGGGGCAUUCGUAUUUAAUUGUCAGAGGUGAAAUUCUCGGAUUUAUGAAAGACGAACAACUGCGAAAGCAUUUGCCAAGGAUGUUUUCAUUAA